AGUACCUGAUGCGUAGUUAAUGCUCAACAAGGGUGAGCUACUGUCGAGAUACAUAACAUGUAAAUGUUGAAUCUGCAUCUCACUUGAAAUGGUUGGGUUUGGAGAAACGGAUAGUCAAGCUUAUUGGAAUUAUUGUUAAAAGUGUUCUUUCUUGGAACCAUCUGCCAAGCUGUGAGGAAGCUCCAGAGCCAUAUGACAAGACCUGAUGGAGGAUAACUGAGGACUUUGGCCAACAACCCCAGCUGAGCUCCAGUUGGAAUGUGAAUGAGGCCAUUUUGAGUGUUCCAGCCUAUUGGAGCCCUAGCCAACACUCUACAAACUAGAACUGCCUGAUUGACCCGCAGAAUCAUAAGAAAUAAAGUAAUUUGAAGGCCUUCCCUGACUUAAAGUGGAUGCUGCUUUGGAAAGCACUGGAAAAAUGGAUCCUGUCUUUCUUAGCCAAGGACUGGUCUCUUUUCUCCAAUGUGUCCCUAACAGAGUGGUGAGGCUGGCUCUUCCCACCAGUACAGACAGAAUUUUCAAUUCACAAAUCAUCUGAAAAACAGGAAAUUUUGGAGAAACAUGCUUAUGAUAACAAACAAGGGAUCUAUCGUGUGGUAUAGAAGUUUACACAAAGAGGCAUCUGAUUUUAAGUUUUUGUUUUUUUUUUUUUUUUUUUUUUUACCGUUCUGGGCUUCUGGCUGCAUUCUAGGAAGAUCAUUCCUUAAAAGAAAUAGCCAUAUGGCUUAUAAGGAUUGUGUGUCCAGUGUUCAGAAGAGUGCCUGGCACAUCAAAAGUGCUGAGUUAAUGUUUAUUGGGUAAAUGAAUACAGUUUUGGGAAUCAUGAACAUUGAGAACCUAGGCCCAGACAAUUCUAAGGGACUAUAUCUUAAGACUAUGUGUCUUCUGCAGUUCUUUGCAUAGAGUCAACGUUGAAGGACAAGCAACUUCAAAUUUCCAAGCAACAAAAUUAUGUUCGGGUGGUUUUCUGAAAGCGAGAUCUUAAGAACCACCUGUAUCAGAAUCCCAUGAAGAGCUUGUUUAGUGUGCAAAUUUACAGAUUGUCCCCCCUCAGAAAUGCUCAUUUAGGAGUUCCUGUCCUUUGCGGGGACAUGGAUGAAGCUGGAAACCAUCAUUCUCAGCAAACUAACACAGGAACAGAAAACCAAACACUGCAUGUUCUCACUCAAAAGUGGGAGUUGAACAAUGAGAACACAUGGACACAGGGAGGGGAACGUCACACACCAGGGCCUGUCGGGGGUGGGAGGUAAGGGGAGGGAGAGGAUUAGGACAAAUACCUAAUGCAUGUGGGGCUUAAAACCUAGAUGAUGGGUUGAUAGGUGCAGCAAACCACCAUGGACAUGUAUACCUAUGUAACAAACUUGCAUGUUCAGUACAUGUAUCCCAGAACUUAAAGUAAAAUAUAAAACAAUAAUAAAAA
rnacentral:lncRNA from 10 species